UACGAGGGGGGCGAGCGUUGUUCGGAAUUAUUGGGCGGAAAGGGUGCGUAGGCGGUUUGGUAAGUCUUAUGUGAAAUCUACAGGCUCAACUUGUAGUCUGCAUGAGAAACUGCCGGGCUUGAGUGUGGGAGAGGUGAGUGGAAUUCCUGGUGUAGCGGUGAAAUGCGUAGAUAUCAGGAGGAACACCUGUGGCGAAAGCGGCUCACUGGACCAUAACUGACGCUGAUGCACGAAAGCUAGGGGAGCAAACAGG
rnacentral:rRNA from 1 species